CAGGACGAACGCUGGCGGCGUGCCUAAUACAUGCAAGUCGAACGGUCUUUCUAUGGAAGCUUGCUUCCACUGAGAAGAUAGUGGCGAACGGGUGAGUAACACGUGGGUAACCUGCCCAUAAGAGGGGGGAUAACAUCCGGAAACGGGUGCUAAUACCGCAUAGUUUUCUUGAUCGCAUGAUCGGGAAAGGAAAGACGGCCUUUGUGCUGUCGCUUAUGGAUGGACCCGCGGCGUAUUAGUUAGUUGGUGAGGUAACGGCUCACCAAGACGAUGAUACGUAGCCGACCUGAGAGGGUGAUCGGCCACAUUGGGACUGAGACACGGCCCAAACUCCUACGGGAGGCAGCAGUAGGGAAUCUUCCGCAAUGGACGAAAGUCUGACGGAGCAACGCCGCGUGAGUGAAAGAAGGUUUUCGGAUCGUAAAACUCUGUUGUCAGAGAAGAACAAAUUGGAGAGUAACUGCUCCAGCCUUGACGGUAUCUGACCAGAAAGCCACGGCUAACUACGUGCCAGCCGCCGC
rnacentral:rRNA from 1 species